UAUACCAAUGACGAGUGUUCUGGAGUGUCUGAAUCAGUGAUUUUGAUUAAACCCUGUAACUCUGAGGUCCAU